GGUUGAAGCGACUGCUUUCAAGAAUAAGUUCCGCCUUGGGUUGGGUGGA
rnacentral:ncRNA from 1 species